ensembl:lncRNA
GCAGGGUUGGGGGUAUGCAGGUCUGAACCACCUGACUUUCCACUUUAUGGACUCCCAGUACAGUGACUGAGUCUCACUAAAAGAAAAAUAUGGAUUAUAUGAAGCCAGUUCCAGCUUUUAUCAGUUGAGAGAAAUACUCUGCAGUGGCUGAUGUGUUAGUGUUGAGCAGGAGGACUACUUGAUGAUCCUGUGACAGGAGGACUUAGAAGUAGCAGAGUAGAAGUGGUGUCCGCAUCGACAACAGGCUGAAAUGAAAGACUAACACAGAGGCCGUAUAUACAAGAAGGGGUUGUGGUGAGCACAGUCUACUUUGGUGUGGUUUGCUGAUGGAACUGGUGACACCAACUAAAUAAACUGAUUAUGAAUACUAACUGUGAGAAAAGGAAAGAAGAAACAUUUUGUCACUCACUCAAGUGACUUAAAAAAAUGGCUGAAGAAGUGACGAAACAUUUCUCCCACUGAACACGCUAUGUCCAGAUGAACAGAAUCAACCUUUUGGGAUUACUGAAGAAAAUGUUAUCCAUCAUGUGUAAUCCUGAUCAC